UACAGAGGUCUCGAGCGUUAGGCGGAAUCACUGGGCUUAAAGCGUGUGUAGGCGGAUCGUUAAGUGCCUUGUGAAAUCCCACGGCUCAACCGUGGAACUGCUUGGCAUACUGGCGGUCUUGAGCAACCUAGGGGCGAGCGGAACAAAUGGUGGAGCGGUGAAAUGCGUAGAUAUCAGGAAGAACACCCGUGGCGAAGGCGGCUUUCUGGGACGGUACUGACGCUGAGACGCGAAAGCGUGGGGAGCGAACAGG
rnacentral:rRNA from 1 species